UGGAAAGUCUUGCUCAGAUAAGGACAUGUGAUCUGGAGUUAGACACACAUAAGAGCAACACAACCACGUUGCGGGAAUGAAAAUAUUAGUAUGGAUGGUAGGGUUGACUUCAAAAGGACAAUUAAAAAUCAAUACAAUAGAAAAACACUGGGAGUGAACCCUGUUAGUGAUAAGUUAACAGAAGUUAAUGUGAUAGGAACAUGUACAACAUAGACCACCAAAUGUACCUAUAACCGAAGGAAGACUAGUUAAAGAUAAAUAAGGGCAUGUACGAUGAUGAGGCUUAGCUAUCAACAUCCCUAAGGACAGGACAAUCACUCAUUAUGUGAGACACCUGGCCAGGCUUGAGAAAUCAAAUCGAUCUGUAGAUAAUGAUCCAUUGUCAAUCACUCUUGGUCUUCACCUCUUAAGUUCCCAGAUUUUCUUCUCACUUGGUAGUUGGAAUUUAGAUCGCUAUUUUCUGUUCACAAAUACUAUGACCGUCCCCUACAGUGCAUUUCUAUUAUCUGUGCUAUGUCCACAAACUCAAAAUAAGAAGUCAACUUCAGAGUUGAGACUUUUAUAAUGAUGCUUCAUCUUAGACUCCACGCAAAUUUUAUACAGAGCUCACAAGCCACAAGUAAGGAGUAAAAUGCACUCAUCAAACCUAGAUAAUUAUUUAUGCAUUUCGUAGCUCCUCUAUACCAACUGUACCAACUUCAUGAACUUCAAUUCCUUGUGGUCCCAGACUCCCCUUGUGAAGUAUUUCCGAUGAAACCUUCCCUUGAGGCUUAUCAUUAUCAUAUGUACUCAUAAAAACUGCCGGGUGUCCCAUCCAGCCUAAAAUACUGUUGCACUAGAUUAGCUAGGCUCUGUAUGACCUUAUAAAGCCUUUCAAGAACUUCAGGUGUUGUGCCAUAACACGAAAACCUAAAGUCAUUAUGCUACUUCCCUUCCCUACAUGAAAAAUCACGUAAUGCUCUCCUGAACUGCAAUCUCAAAAUCCAACAUUAGGCUCUCAAUAUAAUCUUAACAAAAUUCAAGAGCACAUUUUCUACUGAUUUGCGACAAUUGACAGGUGCCCUCAAACAACAAUUGUCAAGAGCAUGUUGAAACAAAUUAAAACCCCUACAUUGUCUAGCGUUUCAAUCAAAAUUCAAAAUUGAAAAAUUGAAAAAGCUAUGAACUAGUGAAUACUAAAAUUUACAAUGAAUGAACAGAGGCAACAGACCUUGACGACAAGGGGAGAGAGAGAAUGCGUUUGGAUGCUGGAGAGCGAGGACUGAAAAGUCGGCCUAGGCGGGCGCUAGGCGGCUAGGCGAUGGCUAGGCGGGCGCUAGGCGGCUAGGAGAUGGCUAGGCGGGCGCUAGGCGGCUAGGCGGUCGCUAGGCGGGCGCUAGGCGGCUAGGCGGUCGCUAGGCGGUGGCUAGGCGGGCGCCUAGGUGGGUUGGGUCUAUUUUCAGUGCCGAACUCGGAGGACGAAGCGGUGACUGGGAGAGAAAGUUCCGUCCUCUGCGAGUACAAGGUUCGUGUUCGUUCGAAU
rnacentral:lncRNA from 1 species